UACGUAGGUGGCAAGCGUUGUCCGGAAUUAUUGGGCGUAAAGCGCGCGCAGGCGGUCCCUUAAGUCUGAUGUGAAAGCCCACGGCUCAACCGUGGAGGGUCAUUGGAAACUGGGGGACUUGAGUACAGAAGAGGAAAGCGGAAUUCCACGUGUAGCGGUGAAAUGCGUAGAGAUGUGGAGGAACACCGGUGGCGAAGGCGGCCAUCUGGACGGUGACUGACGCUGAGACGCGAAAGCGUGGGGAGCGAACAGG
rnacentral:rRNA from 1 species